GCUUCGGUAUUGUAGUGGUAGUAACACGCGUCUCCGGUAUGGAAGAAAGGUGGUUUCGAUUCCCGCCUGAGGCC